rnacentral:misc_RNA from 1 species
AGGGACUACACGGGUUUCUAAUCCUGUUUGCUCCCCACGCUUUCGUGCCUCAGUGUCAGUUACAGUCCAGAGAGCCGCCUUCGCAACUGGUAUUCCUCCUAAUAUCUACGCAUUUCACCGCUACACAUGGA